rnacentral:ncRNA from 19 species
GCGUAACAUUCGCCCCGAUUUAGUAAUAUGAGGACACACACUUUGGACAGUCACAGUCGAUACCGAAUUGAGUUUUUACUGUAACUUUCGCCAUUUCCUUAACAUCGGCGAGGGUUCG